rfam:Schistosoma rodhaini strain Burundi genome assembly, scaffold: SROB_scaffold0000061
GCACUGCUGAGGAGUCCCAUAAUAGGACGAAACGUACGUUCAGUGC